CCUACGGGUGGCAGCAGUAGGGAAUAUUGCUCAAUGGGGGAAACCCUGAAGCAGCAACGCCGCGUGGAGGAUGAAGGUUUUAGGAUUGUAAACUCCUUUUGUGAGAGAAGAUAAUGACGGUUUCCCACGAAUAAGCACCGGCUAACUCCGUGCCAGCAGCCGCGGUAAUACGGAGGGUGCAAGCGUUUCUCGGAAUCACUGGGCGGAAAGAGUGCGCAGGCGGGCUUGUAAGUCAGAUGUGAAAUCCUGUGGCUUAACUACAGAACUGCAUUUGAAACUAUGAGUCUUGAGUGUGGGAGAGGUAGGUGGAAUUCUUGGUGUAGGGGUAAAAUCCGUAGAUAUCAAGAGGAAUACUCAUUGCGAAGGCGACCUACUGGAACAUUACUGACGCUCAUGCACGAAAGCGUGGGGAGCAAACAGGAUUAGAUACCCUAGUAGUC
rnacentral:rRNA from 1 species